GCUUAUCAAGAGAGGUGGAGGGAUACGGCCCUGUGAAGCCCGGCAACCGCGGAGAGCAGCGGUGCCAAUUCCGUCAGGGAAACCUGAAAGAUGAGA
rnacentral:ncRNA from 1 species